GGAAGGUCCGGGCGUUAUCCGGAUUUAUUGGGUUUAAAGGGAGCGUAGGCCGUCUUUUAAGCGUGUUGUGAAAUACUGUCGCUCAACGACAGAGGUGCAGCGCGAACUGGGAGACUUGAGUGCGCGGAAUGCAGGCGGAAUUCGUCGUGUAGCGGUGAAAUGCUUAGAUAUGACGAAGAACUCCGAUUGCGAAGGCAGCUUGCAGUAGCGUAACUGACGCUGAAGCUCGAAAGUGCGGGUAUCGAACAGGAUUAGAUACCCUGGUAGUCCGCACGGUAAACGAUGGAUGCCCGCUGUUGGUCUGAAUAGGUCAGCGGCCAAGCGAAAGCAUUAAGCAUCCCACCUGGGGAGU
rnacentral:rRNA from 1 species